rnacentral:ncRNA from 1 species
ACAAAGGCUAUGAAAAGAAAUAGUAUCAAUUAUUUUUACGAACAGAAAGUUACCGGUUGAUGAGAGGUGCAUGUAAAACGAUUGUGAAUUCAUCUUGGAGCUGUGUACCGAAAAGAUCAUAUCUAAGUAGGCUACGCCGGUAAGCACCCGUAAUCAUGUGCGAGAGUAUCGUCAAAUGACUGUACUUCUUAAGGUAAGUAAUGUGAAUUGCUUAUAAAUUAAAGGUGGUAACACGAGUUGAAUCGUCCUUUUG